GUCCGCGCCCGGCGCCGCCGCCGCCGCCGCUGCGCCCUCCCGGCUGCGAGUCCGCCCGGCUCCGGAUCACGUGGCGGUUGCCGGAGGCAGAGACUAGAGAGGAGAGAAAAAAAAAGCGCCUCAUUCCUUCUUCCACCGCCAUACUGUAUUUUAUAGUAACUCUCAUUUUUAUUCCUCCCUUUUACUCCCGCUCGUGGAAGGUUUUCCUGGAGAAUGAAGUGCGGUUUGGUUUCCUUGUCAACGGAAGAUGAAGUGAACAACUGAACAUCUCCCCAGUGCAGUAUUUCAGUUUCACAUGGAAACCUCCUUCUAUCAGUUGUAUGAGUCCCUCUGCACAGCUACUAACAUAUCUGAAAAAUUUUCACUAAUCCUUCAUAAUUAUGUAAUUGUUAAAUUUGGAAAAACCUAAAAUAGGAUGGUUAGUGCUAUACUGGGGAGGUCAUUUCAGGCUUUUUGCAGAAUAACUAAUGGACUUUUGAAAAUGUUGAAGUAAUGCAUGUGUAUGCUGUAUGCAGAUGGUGGGGGAAAAAUGCGGUGCACAUGAAACCUGAGCGCAGAAAUGUUGAACUUAGAAACUAUCUUUUCAGUGAAAACUAUUUAACUCUAGAGCCUUUCCUUUGCAUUUUGAGAGGAUUUAGAAGAAUGCAUUAUUCAUAGUGAAACAGCCGUUAGAAAGUCAGUUGUUUCUGAUAGAGGGUGGUGGACACAAGCUUGCAUAUUUUUUUAGCCAUUUUGUGUUACACACUACUGCAGAAAAAUCUGUUUCGUGCAUUGAAUACUGUAUUGAUUAUAAUCAAUCAGACAUUUUUCAUAGGCUAAGGUAUGCCCUACUUAGCAAAAACUGCAUC